CAGUCAUUAGCGUGUCACAGCAACGGAAAGAGAAGCUCCGUGUCUGUCCUCAUCAUUUACACUUGGUAUUUGCCCAAGGAUCUGGCCAGCACCAGUGAGAUGAAUGUGGACUUGACAGUGUUACAAGCUGGCACUGAUUGACUUUUGAAAAGUGAAGUUCCCCAUCAAGGUGCGAGUGUCCCAGCCUUCACUGAAGCAGACCAGAUUCUAAAUCUUCAUACUUUGUACCAUUUCAAGCCAGUCUGUUGUCAGCUGCAACUGGUUCUUUUCAUCUUUUGUGGUAAAUGUCAGGUUUCAGAGCUGGAACUUGCUGUGUGUUUUGAAGGCAGCCAAGAAGGAACUUUAAUGGCUCUCCUGGAAGUUGUUCAAAAGCCACUCCCAUUGACUGCAUCGGACAUUGGAUAA
rnacentral:lncRNA from 1 species